rnacentral:rRNA from 1 species
CCUACGGGAGGCAGCAGUGAGGAAUAUUGGUCAAUGGACGAGAGUCUGAACCAGCCAAGUAGCGUGAAGGAUGACUGCCCUAUGGGUUGUAAACUUCUUUUAUAAAGGAAUAAAACGAGGCACGUGUGCCUUUUUGCAUGUACUUUAUGAAUAAGGAUAGGCUAACUCCGUGCCAGCAGCCGCGGUAAUACGGAGGAUCCGAGCGUUAUCCGGAUUUGUUGGGUUUAAAGGGAGCGUAGAUGGGUUGUUAAGUCAGUUGUGAAAGUUUGCGGCUCAACCGUAAAAUUGCAAGUGAUACUGGCAGUCUUGAGUACAGUUGAGGUAGGCGGAAUUCGUGGUGUAGCGGUGAAAUGCUUAGAUAUCACGAAGAACCCCGAUUGCGAAGGCAGCUUACUAAACUGUGACUGACAUUGAUGCUCGAAAGUGUGGGUAUCAAACAGGAUUAGAUACCCCAGUAGUC